GAACGAGUCCAGCGUGACACCAGCAACUCUGCUGAAAAUCAUUUUGAAUAUGCCACUGUGAAUUGGGUGGGAAGCAUCAGGCAUCCAUUACCACCAAGAGGAGAGACACCAACAUAUGCGAACAUCUCUCUGCAGCGGGACAAAUAUCAUUAAUGCUCCACUUGCUGAAAUGCAGGACUCGUCAGUGCGCAGCCACAUCACAGAACCUCCAAAGGGGCCAUACAGCAAGGAAGUGGGAGAUCUUCUCUGGGACCACAGCAGGACAAUGCACAGCACCCAAAGUGCUGUAGGACGUUGGAAUAUUCUCAGGGCAAAUGCUGCCUGUUUGCCUUUUGGAAAAAAAACGUUUUUU